GGAGGUAUAGCUCAGGGGUAGAGUGUAUGCUUACCAUGCAAGAGGUCCUGGGUUCAAUCCCCAGUACCUCCA
rnacentral:tRNA from 1 species